UACGUAGGGUGCAAGCGUUGUCCGGAAUUAUUGGGCGUAAAGAGCUCGUAGGCGGUCUGUCGCGUCUGCUGUGAAAACUCAGGGCUUAACCCUGAGCUUGCAGUGGGUACGGGCAGACUAGAGUGCGGUAGGGGAGACUGGAAUUCCUGGUGUAGCGGUGAAAUGCGCAGAUAUCAGGAGGAACACCGGUGGCGAAGGCGGUUCUCUGGGCCUUACCUGACGCUGAGGAGCGAAAGCGUGGGGAGCAAACAGG
rnacentral:rRNA from 1 species